UCAAAAAAAAAUCGAGAUACAAAAUGGUGCAUACACUUUCACUGCAAGUGUGUGGAAAUGAAUAUACACAAGGACUGGGAGGUUGCGUGGGAAACAUCAAUGGCUAGGAUCCUGGGGUGUGGGUGACUUCUUUCUGAUUUCUAGGAUCACUGUUAUAAUAUUUGCUAAUUAUUUGGUUCAUCCAGGAGUUGCACGGUAUAGUCCAAAUAACAGCAUCAUCAUUACUAUAUAGUAUCUAUUAUAUAUAUAAUAUAUAAUGAUGUAAUAUAUAAUGAGAAUAUAUUCUCAAUUACAUAUGUAAUAAUGGUGUGUGUGUGUAUGUGUGUGUGUGUGUGUGUGUGUGUGUGUGUGUGUGUAUACCAUUCAACCGGCAAGAAAAAUGAUAGGAUAGAUACUGUUCUCUGGUACAACGGAGGACAGGUGAAUGGGGGAAAGGAUUGCGUUUUAAGCUUGAGAGAGUUUGUGUUUUGUGCCCCUCUAUCUGGAAAUGGUUUCAUUAAAAGGCAUGGUUUGAAACAAUUAACAGUACAGAAUCUGUUUCGCCCUCAUACUCCCUCUCUCCAGUUUUGCUCCCCCACCACCACCACCACUUGUGAUCCUUGUGAGAAUAUCAAAAUUGUUGGAAACUGGAAAGUAAAUGGUUUUCUAAUAAUAUUAGCCAAAAAGACAGUGUUCUUCUGUAGCAAACCCCUGAGACCACAGCAGCUACUUUACGACUGCCAAAGGCUGGUACUUGAGACUAAUGCAAAAUUUGGCAACAGAUGCAUUCAACUUUUUACCAUUCCUAAAGAUCGGGAACCUUACUCUUGUAUUUUCACAGAUCAGCAGAACCUCUCUCCCCCUCUCCCUCUUCUCUCUCCCCCUCUCCCUCUUCUCUCUCCCCCUCUCUCUCUUCUCUCUCCCUUCCUCCCCCUCCUCUCCUCUCUCUCCCUUUCUCCCACUCUACCCCCUCCUCUCUCUCUCCUCCCUCCCCCUUUCCUCUCUCUCUCCCCCUCUUCUC
rnacentral:lncRNA from 1 species